CACUGUUCAGGGUCCCACAGAAGAUCAAACUACACUUCUCUGUUAUAUGUGUGGGAGGCCGAGUUCAAUUCCAUGAAGGGUCCCUGGUUGGCAGUUCAGUCUCUAGAAUUUCCUUUAAUUUUUGGUAAGUCUGUUUUUGUUCAAAGGCAGUGUCCCUGAUGGCAGGAGAAGCAUGGCAACAGGAACCGGAAGCUAAGAGAUCACAUUUCCAUUGUGCACAGGAAGCAGAGAGGGAAUUUCUAUCAACUAGAUGACAUCAUGAAUGUAACAGUAGUAAGGUUGGUAGUGAAAUCACUCCUGAUAAGAGGAGUUUGAAGUCUAUUAGGAAGUGGAAGAGCAAUGAAGUGACUACCCCUACGAGAACAUUUUACAUCACAGUUGCAAAGAACACAUCUAUCCUCUUCAUUAAAUCAACUGGUGUCCUUGAAGCUCCGGCUCAGCUGCCCUCUGACCCAAGAGAAGCAACAAAAUCCUAAAUCUCACUCCUCUGGCAAGAUCCACCAGGAGGUGAUUUGUUGAACAGCUUGUUAUGUGUGUUGAGAGAAGAUCUUCUACAACUAUUAGGAACAAACACAAGCCCAAGUUUUGAAAAAGUCAAGCAAAAAUGAAAUUGAAAUAGGAUGGAGAUUUGUUUUCCCCUUCUGCGUGUCUUCUCUCUACUGAAUUUCUUUUGAUCCAUGGGGACAUAGGGAAGAGACGAUUGUCCUCACUCCAUCUUCUUCCAAGACCCUCAGAAUGUCUUCCUAGUAGUAGAAAAUAAGACAGAACCACGAUGCUUGAGAAUACACCAGAGCCACGAGAAGAUAAGAGUAAAUGAUAAACAUCAGCUGAGACAAUUUUACUUCAUCAAAAAUCUUCUAAAAGUUCACUUUUCUGCUUUAUUCUGUCUUGUAAAAGUUAAAAAUAAAUCUUUUGCUUGCUUCAUA
rnacentral:lncRNA from 1 species